rnacentral:rRNA from 1 species
UACAGAGGGUGCAAGCGUUAAUCGGAAUUACUGGGCGUAAAGAGCUCGUAGGUGGUUUGUCGCGUUGUCCGUGAAAACUCACAACUCAAUUGUGGGCGUGCGGGCGAUACGGGCAGACUGGAGUACUGCAGGGGAGACUGGAAUUCCUGGUGUAGCGGUGGAAUGCGCAGAUAUCAGGAGGAACACCGGUGGCGAAGGCGGGUCUCUGGGCAGUAACUGACGCUGAGGAGCGAAAGCGUGGGGAGCGAACAGG